GACGAACGCUUGCGGCGUGCCUAAGAAAUGCAAGUCGAACGGGGGCUUCGGCCCUAGUGGCGAACGGUCGCGUAACACGUGGGCAACCUGCCCUGAAGCGGGGGACAACAGUUCGAAAGGACUGCUAAUACCGCAUGUGGACUUUUUCGGUCAUCGAUUAAGUCUAAAGGAUUUAUCCACUUCAGGAUGGCCCGCGGCCUAUCAGCUAGUUGGUGAGGUAACGGCUCACCAAGGCUUCGACGGGUAGCUGGUCUGAGAGGACGACCAGCCGGAUUGGGACUGAGAUACGGCCCAGACUCCUACGGGGGGCGAGCAAUUAGGAAUCUUGCGCAAGUGGGGGCAACCCUGACGCAGCGACGCCGCGUGAAGGAUGAAGUCCUCGU
rnacentral:rRNA from 1 species